rnacentral:rRNA from 1 species
GAUGAACGCUGGCGGCGUGCCUAAUACAUGCAAGUCGAGCGAACAGACGAGGAGCUUGCUCCUCUGACGUUAGCGGCGGACGGGUGAGUAACACGUGGAUAACCUACCUAUAAGACUGGGAUAACUUCGGGAAACCGGAGCUAAUACCGGAUAAUAUAUUGAACCGCAUGGUUCAAUAGUGAAAGACGGUUUUGCUGUCACUUAUAGGUGGAUCCGCGCCGCAGUAGCUAGUUGGUAAGGUAACGGCUUACCAAGGCAACGAUGCGUAGCCGACCUGAGAGGGUGAUCGGCCACACUGGAACUGAGACACGGUCCAGACUCCUACGGGAGGCAGCAGUAGGGAAUCUUCCGCAAUGGGCGAAAGCUUGACGGAGCAACGCCGCGUGAGUGAUGAAGGUCUUCGGAUCGUAAAACUCUGUUAUUAGGGAAGAACAAAUGUGUAAGUAACUAUGCACGUCUUGACGGUACCUAAUCAGAAAGCCACGGCUAACUACGUG